rnacentral:rRNA from 1 species
CCCUUAGAUGUUCUGGGCUGCACGCGUGCUACACUGAUAUUGCCAAUAUGUCAUUCUUAUCCGAAAUGGAUUGGGUAAUCAAGUAAUGAAAUUUCAUGCUUGGAAUCGGUAAUUGCAAUUUUAUCGUGAACGAGGAAUUCCUAGUAAGCACUAGUCAUCAGCUAAUGUUGAUUAUGUCCCUGCCCUUUGUACGCACCGCCCGUCGCUACUACUGAUUGGGUGUUCAAGUGAGAUGCUUAGACCCUUGUUGCAUGGUUCAUUAUUGUGCUCCGAAAGGAAAAAGUUUCAAGCUUGAGUGUCUAGAGGAAGUAAAAGUCGUAACA